UACGUAGGGUGCAAGCGUUUAUCCGGAAUUAUUGGGCGUAAAGAGCUCGUAGGCGGUUUGUCGCGUCUGCUGUGAAAACUGGGGGCUCAACCCCCCAGCCUGCAGUGGGUACGGGCAGACUAGAGUGCGGUAGGGGAGAUUGGAAUUCCUGGUGUAGCGGUGGAAUGCGCAGAUAUCAGGAGGAACACCGAUGGCGAAGGCAGAUCUCUGGGCCGUAACUGACGCUGAGGAGCGAAAGCAUGGGGAGCGAACAGG
rnacentral:rRNA from 1 species